CAUAUUGUCUCCAGACAUGUUUGUUACAGAGAUUCAACUUUUCACAAAUUUAAUCUCUAAACAAUUUCUUUUCCUACUUAGGUACGGUGAAAAAAACCAUCCAUUUGUAGUUGCUUCUUUUAAAGGCAGAUGGGAGGAAUGGGAGUUAACUCAACAAAUCAGUUAUGCUGCUAAUAGAGCCUCAUUAGACUACUCCUCUGGCAUGUCCUCUGAUGAAGAAAGUGGUAGCAUGGAAUCUCAGAUCAUCCCUAAAGUCAGCAAUCCCAAGAGUGUCUAUCAGGCUGAAAACUUGAAAUGGCCCUGCCCAUCUUGGCUCUACACCACCAGCCGGAAGAAUGUGGCAGAGGGCCGUUCAGGAGUCCUAGGAAACCGGGUUGCUUAUCAAGCUGCACGUAGGAUCCCCAAGUGCUGCAGGCCUGUCACUGGGCACCGCAGGGACAGGUACCACUGGAUCAAUUCAAACCGAUAAUACUGAGAACAAGGUUGUGGUGUGAGAGCUUAAAGGACAGGCUUUGUCUUCCCUAAAAUGAAAAUGAGUCUGAGGCUCUUGAGAGGCCCAUGAAAUAGAAAAAAAUGCAUAAUGGUGAAUCCUCUCACACAGAUUAAGACUUUGUUCUUAGCUAUACUUUUUAAUUCUUAUUUAAUUUUUUAUGAAGUUUUAUGUAAUGUUACUUAAUGCACCCAGUAAAGUAAUAGAAUGAAGAUAUUAAUCUGUGACAAAAUUCAAUGAAUUAUGAAAAGUAACAGUUUAAAUAAACAUACUGUUUUUAAUACCAUACUGGUUGUUUGUUUCUAGGGAGUUUUAAAAGUUUGUAUUUCUUCACUAGCAAUUGUUUUAAAAGUAGAUUUUUGGUUAGGGAAGAGUGAUCCUGAUAAUACAAUGUUCUGGCUUCAACUUUAAUUCUUGCCAUAACUGUUCUAUUUUACAAGUCCAGUAAGAGCUUAAGAAUUAUUCUAAAAUACAAAAUUCCUUUCUUUAUGUGUCUUUAAAAUUUUAUUUAUAAGACUUAAUAUGCUUUAUUUUAUAAAAGUCAUACAUGCUUGUUAUAAAGAAUUUAAGCUAAACAAAAUAACAUACCACUAAGAAAAUAAAAAUACCUACUAUCCAAAGCUGACCAUUAUUAAUAUUGAUGGUGAAUAUAUUUCCAUUCUCUGUAUAUGUACAGAUGUAAAAAUGGAUACACAAUCUGAUAAGUAUCCCAUACUAGAGGCAGUACUUAUUAAGUGUUUGAAUUUGAUUUUAUUCAAUCUUAGAAAAAAAGCCUACAGUGGUGCUAAAAUGUCCAUUAGCUUUUCUACCACAAAAUAUUUUAAGUUUUCUCCAGAAUUGCAAAAGAAAAACAUCAGGAAGCUGGAACAGUCCUUAAUCCCCGUUCCCAUUUUAUAUGUAUUGAAUAUUAAUAGCUAUGCCAACUAUAGAAAUCAGCAUUCUUAAUUUUUGUCCUUUAUUUCCCAUGUUAUUUUUAAUGGCAAGUUUUAAAAUUUAUAUUUUGCCCUAAAAUAUUUAUAUAGACUUUUUGUUUAUUGUUCUAAAUUUAAAUGGAUUAAAUGCUCAUCAAUCUAUAUGUGAGGUCUGUUUUGUUUCAUCUUUGGUUAGCUGGAUGCUAUUAAUAAACUUUUCC
rnacentral:lncRNA from 1 species